rnacentral:tRNA from 16 species
AGGUAGUCCAACGGUAGCGCAGUACAUUUUUGUCCGCGCUACCCUGGUUCGAUUCCCUGAGU